rnacentral:sRNA from 1 species
AUAACCAAAUCUAACUGAAAUCAUUGUUUCUGACAGUUCUACAUGCUGGAUUCAAGGUCUACAGACAGAGUGUUACAGUGGGAAAGAAUUGAUUGCCAAGGAAUUCCUCCAUCAUCAAAGGACAAACUUGGUGUCUGGGUAUAUAAAAACAAGUUAAUAUUUUUUGGAGGGUAUGGAUAUUUGCCUGAAGAUAAAGUAUUGGGAACUUUUGAAUUCGAUGAAACAUCUUUUUGGAAUUCAAGUCAUCCAAGAGGAUGGAAUGAUCAUGUACAUAUUUUAGAUACUGAAACAUUUACCUGGAGCCAGCCUAUAACUACUGGUAAAGCACCUUCACCUCGUGCUGCCCAUGCCUGUGCAACUGUCGGAAAUAGAGGCUUUGUGUUUGGAGGCAGAUAUCGAGUAAGUAUUCAAAGAACUUCAAUGACUUGCUUUUGAAUUCUUCAAAAUGGUAACUUAAUUAUCCUUUUUUAGGAUGCUAGAAUGAAUGAUCUUCACUAUCUUAAUCUGGAUACAUGGGAGUGGAAUGAAUUGUAGGUAUCACUUUAGAUAAAUUUCUCCAAAAUUCAGAUUGUUUUUACCCUAUAUUCCCUACUAUUGGUAUAUAAUGUCCUUGUUUAACUUUUCUUUAACUAUGAAAUUAAAUAAACAUAAUUACUAGGUCCUUAAGGAAUGAAUUUUAUUUUUGUGUUUCCAGCAUGUGCUCAGUGUUUGUUGAAAAGAAAAGGUCUGAAGUUGAUCCUAACUUCAAAGAAAAUAUUUCAGUAUAAAGCAUGUAGUUUAUACCAAGAAGCCUUUUUAA